UUAGGGCAUAGUGUAAUACGGUAGCACGAAGAUUUUUGAAUUCUUAGGAUUAGGUUCAAGUCCUAUAGCUCUAG
rnacentral:tRNA from 1 species